AAUAACACGGUGAAGAAGAGUAGUACAUCGAGUCGUCACUUUAAGAGAGUCCAUGGUUGGUGUGAAUGGAUAGUGGAUGCAGAUGGAAUGGACUUCGGAGUGGCUGACUUGAACAGUGAAGUAGAGUCAGACGGGAUUGCCCGUUAUAGCAGUUUAGAGCGGCUAUUAUCAUAGCAACUUGGGUGGCAACGCGAUGACUCGUCCCUUGA
rnacentral:ncRNA from 2 species